rnacentral:rRNA from 1 species
AAUCCUGGCUCAGGAUGAACGCUAGCUACAGGCUUAACACAUGCAAGUCGAGGGGCAGCAUGGUCUUAGCUUGCUAAGGCCGAUGGCGACCGGCGCACGGGUGAGUAACACGUAUCCAACCUGUCGUCUACUCUUGGACAGCCUUCUGAAAGGAAGAUUAAUACAAGAUGGCAUCAUGAGUCCGCAUGUUCACAUGAUUAAAGGUAUUCCGGUAGACGAUGGGGAUGCG